AUGAGUGCCUCUUCAACAGCAAGCAUCUUGGUUUCAUCAGCCAGUUUAAAGGGCAGCCCGGUGCACGUAGCUCCCGCUUGCAAAGGGUCCGGGGAAGGGUCUGACCACUUUGGGUCUAUAGUAUGCAGCCUUUCCCUACAUUUCUGCAAGAGGCUGUUUCCAGGACUCGAACCCGUGACCUCAUGGUCACAAGGCAACAGCUUUACCGCUGCGCCAAGGCUCCCCUUCUUUCAUCAGCUUGUUUGGACAAGACAAAUCGGAGGCGACAGCUUGUGCUGCUUGCCAACAGCAUUUAUUCUUUUGGGUGUGUCUAGGGUUUCCUGGUCUUAG
rnacentral:rRNA from 1 species